AGAGUUUGAUCAUGGCUCAGAACGAACGCUGGCGGCAGGCCUAACACAUGCAAGUCGAACGUGAAGCCACCUUCGGGUGGUGGAAAGUGGCAGACGGGUGAGUAACGCGUGGGAACGUGCCUUUCGGUUCGGGAUAACCCAGGGAAACUUGGGCUAAUACCGGAUACGCCCUCCGGGGGAAAGAUUCAUUGCCGAAAGAUCGGCCCGCGUCGGAUUAGCUAGUUGGUGGGGUAAAAGCCCACCAAGGCGACGAUCCGUAGCUGGUCUGAGAGGAUGACCAGCCACACUGGGACUGAGACACGGCCCAGACUCCUACGGGAGGCAGCAGUGGGGAAUAUUGGACAAUGGGCGCAAGCCUGAUCCAGCCAUGCCGCGUGGGUGAAGAAGGCCCUAGGGUUGUAAACCCCUUUCAGCGGGGAAGAUAAUGACGGUACCCGCAGAAGAAGCCCCGGCUAACUCCGUGCCAGCAGCGGCGGUAAUAC
rnacentral:rRNA from 1 species